AGUGAACGCUGGCGGCAGGCCUAAUACAUGCAAGUCGAACGGCAGCACAGUGGAGCUUGCUCCAUGGGUGGCGAGUGGCGGACGGGGUGAGGAAUACAUGGGAAUCUGCCCAGUCGUGGGGGAUAACGUAGGGAAACUUACGCUAAUACCGCAUGCGCCCUUCGGGGGAAAGCCGGGGACCGUAAGGCCUGGCGCGAUUGGAUGAGCCCAUGUCGGAUUAGCUAGUUGGCGGGGUAACGGCCCACCAAGGCGACGAUCCGUAGCUGGUCUGAGAGGAUGAUCAGCCACACUGGAACUGAGACACGGUCCAGACUCCUACGGGAGGCAGCAGUAGGGAAUAUUGGACAAUGGGCGCAAGCCUGAUCCAGCCAUGCCGCGUGAGUGAAGAAGGCCUCGGG
rnacentral:rRNA from 1 species